rnacentral:snoRNA from 1 species
CCCCUCUCAGGGUCGCACCUGGAGAGUUUCCAGUCCUCUACCAGUCACGACUACGGGAGGGAGAGUCAAGCAGAGGCCUACCCGUUCCAUUCCUAGCUUGGCCAGCGGCUAGCGAGCGGAAGGCAAUCGGCCACGAGU